GAUGAACGCUGGCGGCGUGCCUAAUACAUGCAAGUCUAGCGAACAGACGAGGAGCUUGCUCCUCUGACGUUAGCGGCGGACGGGUGAGUAACACGUGGAUAACCUACCUAUAAGACUGGGAUAACUUCGGGAAACCGGAGCUAAUACCGGAUAAUAUAUUGAACCGCAUGGUUCAAUAGUGAAAGACGGUUUUGCUGUCACUUAUAGAUGGAUCCGCGCCGCAUUAGCUAGUUGGUAAGGUAACGGCUUACCAAGGCAACGAUGGGUAGCCGACCUGAGAGGGUGAUCGGCCACAAUGGAACUGCGACACGGCCCAGACUCCUACGGGAGGAAGCAGUAGGGAAUCUUCCGCAAUGGGCGAAAGACUGACGGAGCAACGCCGCGUGAGUGAUGAAGGUCUUCGGAUCGUAAAACUCUGUUAUUAGGGAAGAACAAAUGUGUAAGUAACUAUGCACGUCUUGACGGUACCUAAUCAGAAAGCCACGGCUAACUACGUG
rnacentral:rRNA from 1 species